rnacentral:tRNA from 1 species
UCGGGGUUCGUCUAAUGGUAGGACUCUGGGUUUUGGUCCCAGCAAUCCAGGUUCGAGUCCUGGGCCCCGAGCCA